GCAGAUAACCAAGAGGCGCGACUUGCUGCGAUUGAGGCAUCCUUGGCAGAAUUGAGGGAGAUAAUCGGAUAGCUGACCCUGCAGCAGGGAAUCCACCAACCCGCCGCCGCCGCACACCCCCAACCAAUCGCCAAUCCUGUGGCCGCCAAUCUUGUGGCCGCCAAUCCUAAGGUCACCUAUGUGGUGAAGAAAAUCUUAUGUUCAACAAAACAGGAGGAUGAGACGCAAAGGAGGAAGAUUUUCCAGGCAAAGUGUCGAGUAGGAGAGGC
rnacentral:lncRNA from 1 species